UACGUAGGGGGCAAGCGUUGUCCGGAAUCAUUAGGCGUAAAGCGCGCGUAGGUGGCCAUUUAAGUCCGCUGUGAAAGUCAAAGGCUCAACCUUUGAAAGCCGGUGGAUACUGGAUGGCUAGAGUACGGAAGAGGCGAGUGGAAUUCCUGGUGUAGCGGUGGAAUGCGCAGAUAUCAGGAGGAACACCAAUAGCGAAGGCAGCUCGCUGGGACGUUACUGACACUGAGGCGCGAAAGCGUGGGGAGCGAACAGG
rnacentral:rRNA from 1 species